rnacentral:rRNA from 1 species
AGUGAACGCUGGCGGUAGGCCUAACACAUGCAAGUCGAACGGCAGCACAGGAGAGCUUGCUCUCUGGGUGGCGAGUGGCGGACGGGUGAGGAAUACAUCGGAAUCUGCCCAGUCGUGGGGGAUAACGUAGGGAAACUUACGCUAAUACCGCAUACGACCUUCGGGUGAAAGAGGGGGAUCGCAAGACCUCUCGCGAUUGGAUGAGCCGAUGUCGGAUUAGCUAGUUGGCGGGGUAAUGGCCCACCAAGGCGACGAUCCGUAGCUGGUCUGAGAGGAUGAGCAGCCACACGGGAAGAGAGACGCGGCCCGGACGCCUGCGGGAGGCAGCCGUGGGGGAUGGUGGACGAUGGGCGAAAGAUUGAUACAGCAUUACGGCGUGAGAGAAGCAGGUCUGCGUAUUGCAAUGCACUUAUGUCGGGAAAAAAAAAAUAAAGGUUAAUCCCCUGCUGUGCAGCCGGCACCAAAAAAAUAGAGAACGGCUCACUUGGUG